rnacentral:rRNA from 1 species
UACGUAGGGUGCGAGCGUUGUCCGGAAUUACUGGGCGUAAAGAGCUCGUAGGUGGUUUGUCGCGUUGUUCGUGAAAACUCACAGCUUAACUGUGGGCGUGCGGGCGAUACGGGCAGACUGGAGUACUGCAGGGGAGACUGGAAUUCCUGGGUGUAGCGGUGGAAUGCGCAGAUAUCAGGAGGAACACCGGUGGCGAAGGCGGGUCUCUGGGCCGUAACUGACGCUGGAGGAGCGGAAAGCCGUGGGGAGCGAACAGG